rnacentral:rRNA from 1 species
AGAACGAACGCUGGCGGCGUGGAUAAGACAUGCAAGUCGAACGGGAUUAUUUUUGUAGCAAUACAGAAAUAAUUCAGUGGCGAACGGGUGCGUAACACGUGGGCAAUCUGCCGAAAAGUGGGGGAUAGCUCGCCGAAAGGCGAAUUAAUACCGCAUGUGGUGAGGGACGACAUCUUCCUGAAUCCAAAGCCGGGGCAACCUGGCGCUUUUUGAGGAGCCCGCGGCCUAUCAGCUAGUUGGUGAGGUAACGGCUCACCAAGGCUUUGACGGGUAGCUGGUCUGAGAGGACGACCAGUCACACUGGAACUGAGACACGGUCCAGACACCUACGGGUGGCAGCAGUCGAGAUUUUCUCAAUGGGGGAAACCCUGAAGGAGCGACGCCGCGUGGAGGAUGAAGGCGUUUCGGGUUGUAAACUCCUGUCAUUUGAGAACAAGGUGCGAGAAUUAACUGUCCUGCAUUGAUAGUAUCAGAAGAGGAAGGUACGACGUAACUCUGUCGCAG